AGGUUGACAUGUCAGGCAUCUUUCGAAAGGAAAGACCGCUUGGGGCACCGUGACACACAGGUGGCAGCAUGGUGUCGUCAUGCUCGUGUCGAUGAGAUGUUGGAAGUAGUCGCAGCAGACGAGCAGUCCCCCAUCGUUUAGAGUCCCCAUGAUUAAGUUGGGCACUUUAAAGAGACUGCCGGUGAUAAAUCGGAGGAAGGUGAGGACGACGUCAAGUCAGCAUGCCCCUUACGUCCUGGGCUACACACGUGCUACAAUGGUCGAGACAAAGAGUUGCUACCUUGCAACAGUAAGCCAAUCUCAUAAACUCGAUCUCAGUUCAGAUUGCAGUCUGCAACUCGCCUGCAUGAAGUUGGAAUCGCUAGUAAUCGCAGUCAGCAU
rnacentral:rRNA from 1 species